rnacentral:rRNA from 1 species
ACGAACGCUGGCGGCGUGCUUAACCCAUGCAAGUCGAACGAUGAAGCGGUGCUUGCACCGUGGAUUAGUGGCGAACGGGUGAGUAAUACGUGAGUGACCUACCUUUGACUCUGGGAUAAGCCUGGGAAACUGGGUCUAAUACCGGAUACGACCAAUCUCUGCAUGGGGUGUUGGUGGAAAGCGUUAUGGAGUGGUUUUAGAUGGGCUCACGGCCUAUCAGCUUGUUGGUGAGGUAAUGGCUUACCAAGGCGACGACGGGUAGCCGGCCUGAGAGGGUGACCGGCCACACUGGGACUGAGACACGGCCCAGACUCCUACGGGAGGCAGCAGUGGGGAAUAUUGCACAAUGGGCGCAAGCCUGAUGCAGCGACGCCGCGUGAGGGAUGACGGCCUUCGGGUUGUAAACCUCUGUUAGCAUCGAAGAAGCGAAAGUGACGGUAGGUGCAGAGAAAGCGCCGGCUAACUACGUG